CGCCGUCCGCGGGAAUUUGAAGUGCCUGACUGGGUGGCCGGGAGACGGAGUCUCGGGGUCGCGUGCACCUGGGCGGCCAGGGAGGCUCCAGUGCCCGGGAGAAAGGCAAGAAAACUGAGGCACAGAGAGAUUGUCACACAGCCAGUAAGGUUUCUUUCAAAAUGAAGAUUCACGCAGUGAUUGUAACUGUCUUGAUGAGCCAGGUUGUAGUUUACAAAGUUUUAUUCCAGAAGGAAAAAAGCCACUUCACCUAGAAAUUUUGCAAACAAAUCAACUUUUACUCUGUGAGUAAUCCAGGGCCUAUCAAGACUACAUUUUAGUUGACUGCAAGGCCUCUGAGGCACGGGAAUUCACAGCUGAGUUCUUGGAGAAGGUCCUUGAGCCAUCUGGAUGGCGGACAGUCUGGCACAUGAUGUGCUCAAGGUGCUGCUUGAGGCCACAGAUGUGGACAUUUCAGCCUUGAAGGCAGUGGUGCAGCUUGCUGAGCCAUACCUCUGUGAAUCUUGAGCGAGUACUUUCACCUUGGAGUGUGUGAAAGAGCUCCUCGAGCUGAAGGAACAUCAGUUGCCCCUGAAGGAGCUGGGUGGUGUUUGAUGAUUCUGGAGACAGCACUUGUAACUUGUAACUGAGCAUGUCAGCUAGGAAGGAGGUAUCUGGUCAGAGAAGGUGUUUUCUGAGGCUGCUUCCUGGAUCCCUAGGGUUUGUGUUCCUGCCAUUCAGCCUAUUUGGCAGUUAUUUCCACCUGUACAAACAGACCCUUUGUCCCUUACAUGAGAAAGAAAGCCCACACCUGGAUUCAUAUUAAUAGGGUGCUGGCAUAGAAAUAUAUCCUGGGAGUAAGUUUGGGUUCCCUGCGUGAGAAUGGACCCGCUGUUGCAAGGAAGGGCUCCUCAUUAAGCUGAGCAUUGGCCGAGACACUUGCUUUCUAAAGAUAUUCAUCCAUCUAAGACUUAUUGAGCACCUACUGUGUGCCAGGCACUGCUCUGGGAACUGCAGCCACGUGAACAAAGCCAUGUAAAUAAAGCUGGGACAGAACACAGUUCAGCUUUGCCUUCUACUGACAGGUGGCAAGUCCUCAGCCAGGCUCCUUGUCACGACUGCCUCACCACUACCACUGCGAGACAGAAAAUAUCCCAGCAAGAAUAAAUGGACAGGCACAGACCACCCAGAGAAAGGCUGGCAAAAAAAAAAUAGCCGUCCCUGACCUGUCCCUGAAAAUGACACCUGGUCCUUUGGGCUGCUGUCUCUCUCACGUCGGGACCCAAACUUCUGUGUUUCCUGGAUGUCUGUCAGUGUCUCCUUCAGUGUUUCAGGUCCAUCAACCCUAAUCUCACAGCAUCUGUAGAUGCGGUUUCAGGUGGAGGAGCCAGCAGCCUGCAUGAGGUCCCCAGCCCAUCAAGACUUCCCAGGGAUCUGUCUCCGUGUGGGCCCAGCCUGACUUGGUGCAGGCAGCCUUCAGAGGAGCUGUCGCUGCAGCCAUAAUCCCAACCAUUGCCACCAGCUCUGGAAACAGUGGUGACAGCAACAGUAGAGGUUCAGCCUCCACUUUCAUGGAGCUUACAGAUGGGUCAGGGAGACAGCCAGGCAAUUGUGAUCGCAUAUAGUGAAUACUAGGAGGGUGUUACGGGAGCACAGAGUAGGGGCUUGAGUCCCAGGUGUGUGCAUGUGCGUGUGUGGGUAGUUAUUGUGAAUGUCAAGGAAGACUUGCCUGAAAAGGGUGACAUCACAGCUCAUGCCUGAAGGAUGAUUUACAGGGGAGUCUUCUAGGUAGGGAAAGUGGCACAGGAGGUGAGAAAGAGUACAGUUUGGUAAACCAGAAGGAGUAGGUGGGGCCAGGAUUCGACUGUGGCAGGUGAGGCUGGAACAUGUGAGUGCAGGGCAGAUCAUGUCUUUAUUUUAACUUCUGGUAUCUGUUAACCAUGGAUCUUUUGCACUGAUUUUGAUUUUUUAAAAAAU
rnacentral:lncRNA from 10 species